rnacentral:rRNA from 1 species
UAUCUGGUUGAUUCUGCCAGUAGUAAUAUGCUUGUCUCAAAGACUAAGCCAUGCAAGUCUAAGUACGAGCUAAUUUAAAGUGAAACUGCGAAUGGCUCAUUAAAUCAGCUGUGGUUUAUUUGAUGUUCAUCCAAUACUUUACUUGGAUAACUGUGGCAAUUCCAGAGCUAAUACAUGCACACAGUCUCCGACCGCAAGGGAAGGGCGCAAUUAUUAGACCAAAACCGGUCGGCGGGCUUCGGUCCGUAACCUGUUAUGGUGACUCUGGAUAGUGAGCGGAGCGCACGGUCUUUGCACUGGCGCCGCAUCUCUCAAGUGUCUGCCUUAUCAGCUUACGAUUGUAGUUUAUGCGCCUACAAUGGCUGUAACGGGUAACGGGGAAUGAGGGUUCGAUUCCGGAGAGGGAGCCUGAGAAACGGCUACCACAUCCAAGGAAGGCAGCAGGCACGCAAAUUACCCACUCCCGACACGGGGAGGUAGUGACGAAAAAUAACGGUGCGAGACUCAUCCAAGAGACCUCGCACUUGGAAUGAGUACACUUUAAAUCCUUUAGCGAGGAUCAAUUGGAGGGCAAGUCUGGUGCCAGCAGCCGCGGUAA